GAUGAACGCUGGCGGCGUGCCUAAUACAUGCAAGUCGAACGAAACUUCUUUAUCACCGAGUGCUUGCACUCACCGAUAAAGAGUUGAGUGGCGAACGGGUGAGUAACACGUGGGCAACCUGCCCAAAAGAGGGGGAUAACACUUGGAAACAGGUGCUAAUACCGCAUAACCAUAGUUACCGCAUGGUAACUAUGUACAAGGUGGCUAUACUACCGCUUUUGGAUGGGCCCGCGGCGCAUUAGCUAGUUGGUAGGGUAAAGGCUUACCAAGGCAAUGAUGCGUAGCCGAAUUGAGAGGUUGAUCGGCCACAUUGGGACUGAGACACGGCCCAAACUCCUACGGGAGGCAGCAGUAGGGAAUCUUCCACAAUGGGCGAAAGCCUGAUGGAGCAACGCCGCGUGGGUGAAGAAGGUCUUCGGAUCGUAAAACCCUGUUGUUAGAGAAGAAAGUGCGUGAGAGUAACUGUUCACGUUUCGACGGUAUCUAACCAGAAAGCCACUGCUAACUACGUG
rnacentral:rRNA from 1 species